CUGUUCAACACCCCAGACUCAGAGGUUAGAACAGCUCUUGGCAUAUGCUCUUGCAAUGUUCACAAUAUCAGUGACAUUCGGGGUCAACUUGGCAAAAAACGGAAUCUGCACAGCCUGCCUCACCCAGCGACAGAUGUUUCGUACCAGCUCUGGAUCCUGUUCAAAUAGCCAAGCCAGCUGCUGACUAAAUCAUCAUAGCCA